CAAGACCUCACGUUAUAGGAGCGGCCGAUGUCCGAUUAGCUAGUUGGUGGGGUAAAGGCCUACCAAGGCGACGAUCGGUAGCUGGUUUGAGAGGAUGAUCAGCCACCCUGGGACUGAGACACGGCCCAGACUCCUACGGGAGGCAGCAGUGGGGAAUUUUGGACAAUGGGGGAAAGCCUGAUCCAGCCAUUCCGGGUGGGGGAAGAAGGCCUUUGGGUUGUAAACCGUUUUAGUCCGGGAAAAAGGGGUGCGAGGAUAAUACCCUCGUGCUUUGAUGGUACUGGAAGAAUAAGCACCGGCUAACUACGUGCCAGCAGCCGCGGUAAUACGUAGGGUGCGAGCGUUAAUCGGAAUUACUGGGCGUAAAGCGUGCGCAGGCGGUUUUGUAAGACAGUCGU
rnacentral:rRNA from 1 species